rnacentral:rRNA from 1 species
AAGCGGUGCUAAUACCGAAUGAUAUCUCAGGGACCUCGGUCUCUAAGAUCAAAGGUGGCCUCUACAUGUAAGCUACUGUUUGGAGAUGAGCCCGCGUACCAUUAGCUAGUUGGUAGGGUAAUGGCCUACCAAGGCUUCGAUGGUUAGCUGGUCUGAGAGGAUGAUCAGCCACACUGGAACUGACACACGGUCCAGACUCCUACGGGAGGCAGCAGUGAGGAAUUUUGCGCAAUGGGGGAAACCCUGACGCAGCAACGCCGCGUGAGUGAUGAAGGCUUUCGGGUCGUAAAGCUCUGUCAAGUGGGAAGAAUAUGCCCUGUGAUAAUACCAUGGGGCACUGACGGUACCACUGAAGGAAGCACCGGCUAACUCCGUGCCAGCAGCCGCGGUAAUACGGGGGGUGCAAGCGUUAUUCGGAAUCAUUGGGCGUAAAGGGCGCGUAGGCGGCCCCUUAAGUCAGAUGUGAAAGCCCUCAGCUUA